CAAAGAUUUGGUCCUGGUCUUAUUGUCAGUUAUCUCUUGAUUUACACAUGCAAGUCUCAGCACUCCAGUGAGGACGCCCUUUCCCCUCCCAUAGGACAAGGAGCUGAUAUCAGGCACAUCUACUGCCCAUGACAUCUAGUUCGACCACACCCCCAAGGGUAUUCAGCAGUGAUAGAUAUUGUUUAUAAGCGACAGCUUGACACAGUCAAAGAGAAGAGGGCCGGCUAACCCGGUGCCAGCCGCCGCGGCUAAACCCUAGGGCCCAAAUUGAUAAAACUCGGCGUAAAUCGUGAUUAAAGUCUACUAAAAUUAGAGUGGAACCUACUACUAAGCUGUGAAAAGCAACUCUUUUAGGGAAAAUCAGAAACGAAAGUUACUCUAAUGCACACUUGAACACACGACAACUGGGAAACAAACUGGGAUUAGAUACCCCACUAUGCCCAGUCGUAAAAUAUUUACUUACGUACACAAACGCCCGGGAACUACGAGCUCUAGCUUAAAACCCAAAGGACUUGACGGUGUCCCACCCAACUAGAGGAGCCUGUCCUAUAAUCGAUGGUCCCCGAUAUACCCAACCUUUUCUUGCUCAUCAGUCUGUAUACCUCCGUCGUAAAUCUACCAUUUGAAUGACGUAUAGUUCGGUUCAAUGAUCACUUCAUCAAAACGUCAGGUCAAGGUGCAACCUAUGAAAAGGCAAGUGAUGGGCUACAAUCUCUAACCUAGAACAAACGAAAUACUGUAUGAAACACAGGAACGAAGGAGGAUUUAGAAGUAAAGAGAAAAUAACGUGUUCUCUUUAACAUGGCCCUGGGACAUGUACACACCGCCCGUCGCCCUCUUCGAUAUAGACACUUCCGUUUUUAACCCAAUUAACAAUGAGAGAAGAGGUAAGUCGUAACAUGGUAAGUGUACUGGAAAGUGCACUUGGAACAGC
rnacentral:ncRNA from 1 species